rnacentral:rRNA from 1 species
UACAGAGGGUGCGAACGUUGCUCGGAAUUACUGGGCGUAAAGCGCGUGUAGGCGGUCUGUUAAGUCGGAUGUGAAAUCUCCGGGCUCAACCCGGAAACUGCAUCCGAUACUGGCAGACUUGAGGAUGGUAGAGGUCGGUGGAAUACCAGGUGUACCGGUGAAAUGGGCAGAUAUCUGGUGGAACACCAGUGGCGAAGGCGGCCGACUGGGCCAAUCCUGACGCUGAGACGCGAAAGCCAGGGUAGCGAACCGG